UACGGGGGGGGCAAGCGUUGUUCGGAAUUACUGGGCGUAAAGGGCUCGUAGGCGGCCAACUAAGUCAAACGUGAAAUCCCUCGGCUUAACCGGGGAACUGCGUCUGAUACUGGAUGGCUUGAGUUUGGGAGAGGGAUGCGGAAUUCCAGGUGUAGCGGUGAAAUGCGUAGAUAUCUGGAGGAACACCGGUGGCGAAGGCGGCAUCCUGGACCGGCAUUGACGCUGAGGCGCGAAAGCCAGGGGAGCAAAGCGGGG
rnacentral:rRNA from 1 species